AACAAGGUCAUGUCAUACUGACAAGGUAAGGGCAGACUAACAACAAGGUCAUGUCAUACUAACAAGGUCAUGUCAUACUGACAAGGUUAGGGCAGACUAACAACAAGGUCAUGUCAUACUAACAAGGUUAUGUCAUACUAACAAGGUUAGGGCAGACUAACAACAAGGUCAUGUCAUGCUAACAAGGUUAGGGCAGACUAACAACAAGGUCAUGUCAUACUGACAAGGUUAGGGCAGACUAACAACAAGGUCAUGUCAUACUGACAAGGUCAUGUCAUACUGACAAGGUUAGGGCAGACUAACAACAACGUCAUGUCAUACUAACAAGGUCAUGUCAUACUGACAAGGUUAGGGCAGACUAACAAUAACGUCAUGUCAUACUGACAAGGUUAGGGCAGACUAACAACAAGGUCAUGUCAUACUAACAAGGUUAGGGCAGACUAACAACAACGUCAUGUCAUACUAACAAGGUCAUGUCAUACUAACAAGGUUAGGGCAGACUAACAACAAGGUCAUACUAACAAGGUCAUGUAAUAAUGACAAGGUAAGGUCUUAGAAACAACGAGGUCAGGUCAUCAUAACAAGGUCGGGUUACAGAAACAUCAAGGUCAAGUCAUAACAACAAGGUCAGACCAUAGAAACAAUGAGGUCAGGUCAUAUUAACAAGGUUGGGUCACAGAAAUAACAAGGUCAUGUCGUAUUAACAAGGUUAAGCCAUAGAAACAAUGAGGACAGGUCAAGCAAUAACAAAUUGAAAGUUAACAGGUUUUUUAGAAUAAAAAGCAAAAAGAAAUUUGUAAUAAAAAAUUGAAUACAAUGUAUCUAAACUUUGUAUCUAUUCCAGUGUGAAUUAAAUGACAGAGGUUUAUUCAAUCACAAAAAACCAACCAGAUAUAUCGGUAUAGGUCACCCAGACCUGAUAUAGGUCACCAAGA